AGAGUUUGAUCAUGGCUCAGGACAAACGCUGGCGGCGUGCCUAACACAUGCAAGUCGAACGAGGUCCAUCCUUCGGGAGAAGACCUAGUGGCGAACGGGUGAGUAACACGUGAAGAACCUGCCCCGAAGACCGGGAUAACCCUCCGAAAGGAGAGCUAAUACCGGAUACCCCCACCGAACCGCAUGGUUUGGUGAGGAAAUGGAUUCCGCUUCGGGAGGGCUUCGCGGCCUAUCAGCUAGUUGGUGGGGUAACGGCCCACCAAGGCAUCGACGGGUAGCUGGUCUGAGAGGACGAUCAGCCACACUGGGACUGAGACACGGCCCAGACUCCUACGGGAGGCAGCAGUGGGAAUCUUGCGCAAUGGGCGAAAGCCUGACGCAGCAACGCCGCGUGGGGAUGAAGGCUCUCGGGUUGUAAACCCCUUUCAGCAGGGACGAAUCAAGACGGUACUUGCAGAAGAAGCCCCGGCUAACUACGUG
rnacentral:rRNA from 1 species